rnacentral:rRNA from 1 species
AUUGAACGCUGGCGGCAGGCUUAACACAUGCAAGUCGAGCGGGGAAAGGUAGCUUGCUCCCUGACCUAGCGGCGGACGGGUGAGUAAUGCUUAGGAAUCUGCCUAUUAGUGGGGGACAACAUCUCGAAAGGGAUGCUAAUACCGCAUACGUCCUACGGGAGAAAGCAGGGGACCUUCGGGCCUUGCGCUAAUAGAUGAGCCUAAGUCGGAUUAGCUAGUUGGUGGGGUAAAGGCCUACCAAGGCGACGAUCUGUAGCGGGUCUGAGAGGAUGAUCCGCCACACUGGGACUGAGACACGGCCCAGACGCCUACGGGAGGGAGCAGUGGGGAAUAGUGGACAAUGGGGGGAAACCUGAGCAAGCCAUGCCGCGUGUGUGAAGAAGGCCUUUUGGUUGUAAAGCACUUUAAGCGAGGAGGAGGCUACCGAGAUUAAUACUCUUGGAUAGUGGACGUUACUCGCAGAAUAAGCACCGGCUAACUCUGUG